CUCUGAAAAAUCCUCAAUUUACAUGUUCUCCUUCCUUCCCAGCCAUGGCCAAGACUAUACUCCUCCUUUCAUUGAAGGGACUUUCUCAGCCAUGUCAUUUAUCUACAAUCAGAAAAAUCAAGGUGCAACGCAAAACGAAAAGAGAAAAUGUGACGACGUACGAAAAGGCGGAUGGGCGUACGAAAAAUCAUUGAUGACAAAAAAGUGGAGAAACAAUCCUCCCUUUAAUAUUAGGUAAAGAUAAAGAUUUUUACGGCAAGUUAUAUUCGUUGAGGAUGGCAAAUCUAGUUGGCGAGCUUGGCAAGUCCGCCUCAUUUCUUUUUUGUCAGAAAGUGUUGGAGAUAUGCCCUAGAGGCAAUCAUGUGAUGAUGAUAUUUCCAUAUGUAUUCAUGGGUCUUUUGUAUUGUCCUUGAACAUCAUCAAUGAUAUGUAUCAAUAAGUA